UUCUGUGAGCUUUUUAGAUGACUUUCAUAAUACAGAACUCUGCAAAUUGAAUUUGAUUUUCAAAUGCGAGGAAACAAGUUUAAAUUUUCUGUCUGAAAUAGGACGUCGGAGAGACAACAAACGAACAAUCCGUUUAGCAUUUAUUUUCCCAUUGCGAGUCCUUAUUUCCAAAAAUAUAUCUAAUUGUUUGACUUCAAAUGUAAUGUUUUUAUGACAAAAAAAAAUGCUUAGUUUUUUGCUAUGUUAUGAUGAUAGUGCUUCUCAUCGUAUUUUGGGAAAAGCUAACGUCACGGAAAUCGGGCCCGAGGUAAUAUGCAAGAUUUCUUGGUAGUCACGGUGUUCUAUGUCUUUCCUUUGCACUUUGCCUUUUUUGGUUUAACUAGUCGAAUUAAAAAUCCUUCAUGUUACGAAAAAAAUGUCAAGCUCACACGACCAGUUUCAAUUCUCCAUGCCAAACUGAGAAAAACCCCGGCACACGUUUUGGGAGUACCAAGAUGGCGGCCAACUGGCUUCAACCAAUCGACAUACCGCUCGAUGUGUCUGCGCUGUCCAGCCUUCUUUUUGUUGUUGGUUUUUUUUUUUUUUUUUUUUUUGUGCCCAGGUCAUGUGGCCAAUGGCCGAAAUCAGCCAAUUAAAAUAGAGUGUUGUGUGACGUAUGUCAUGACGCAACAAACGUUCGGUUUUUGGCGGAUAGCAGCUGCAAGCGUUGUCUUCAUUACGAGCUGAAGGACGAAUAUUAGCAACCCAUCAAUAUAAAUCAUGUAGAUACAGUAUUUUAAUAAAGAAUACAUUUAGCACUUUUCCAAAAAUGAGAAAUUAAACGUUUGGGACCGCAUCAGCCGGUGGAUUUUCACGUCGUUCAAGCAGGGAAGAACAAAACCCGCACCUUCAACUCCGAAUGGUUCAAGAGGAAAGAAAACAUGGCUAACUGUAUGUGUGAUAAGAAAAGCGAUUUUUGGGUUUUUUUUUUUUGCUUCCUUGCCGGCUCUUCAUGGGGGAGACACAACAUGGACUACAACGGGAUUCAAAAAUAUGAAAUAUCUCUCAGAAGGUCUGGCCAAACAUGUGGAGAAUUCCCUGAAACUGGGUUAGCUUGGUAUUGCUAACAUGGCUACACAGUUGGAUUCCGCUCAUAAAGGCGCCAUUGAAGUUCACAAUCAGCAAACUGAGGGAAACAAGUACGUGCUUAGAAGAAUUAUUACACUUAAAACUCUGUGGUAAAUGCGAAAUCGCCUUAUGGGGAAAAAGUGAUCACCUUGAAGCAGCAGCACAGCUCGUUGACAGCACACUUUUCAGUAAAUUCAACAUAUCAUUUGAAUGUGCAACUAAAAUCUGUCCGAUUGGAAAUAAAUUCAAGAUAGAAACUGAACUGAAGUCCCUGCAACGUCACUCAAGAGUUGCAUACUGGUGACACCCUGCAGUUGAUUUAUGACGACAACCUUCAGGAUGCCCGCUCAAAAAAUAUCAUCACAACUGAGUCAGAAACUUUUCAACGCUAAAAAGGAUCCAGACAUUUACAAGAAGCGCAAUGGGCCAGCACAGAUGAAAUCCUUUCUAUUCAAGAAGGGAACGGCUCUGUUCGACUGGUUCUGGUAAGAACCAGGGUUCAAAUGAAGUUUGGACGUUCUGCCCGUGCCUGCGUGGGUUUCCUCCCACAUCCCAAAAACGCAUUAAUUGGAGACUCUUGAUUGUGAAUGUGAAUGAUUGGUUGUUUCGAUGUCCCCUGCGACUGUCUGGCGACCAGUUCAGGAUGCACCCCGCCUCAAGGACCCACGCUUGACGCGGGAGGCGACCCUGCCUCUCCGGGAAACCUGAAACCAUGACAACAGCCAAUUGCUAUUUCCAACUCGGCUCACGGCUCUCGAGCGCCACCUGCUGCCCUUAGGCUGGAUGUACACCACGUCACAUGCGAGGACCACUGAUCUAUUAAAAAAAAAAAAAAAGACUGGGUAGCGAUUACACGUCGAGCGGUAUGUCGAUUUUUUGAAGCCAGUUGGCCGCCAUCUUGGUACUCCCAAAAUGCGUGGCAGACAUUGUUUACAGGUUGGAUGAUGGUGGGGGUUUUCCUCAAAGUUUGGCAUGGAGAAUUAAAACUGGUUGUGU